AUUGAACGCUAGCGGGAUGCCUUACACAUGCAAGUCGAACGGCAGCACGGACUUCGGUCUGGUGGCGAGUGGCGAACGGGUGAGUAAUGCAUCGGAACGUGCCUAGUAGCGGGGGAUAACUACGCGAAAGCGUAGCUAAUACCGCAUACGCCCUACGGGGGAAAGCAGGGGAUCGUAAGACCUUGCACUAUUAGAGCGGCCGAUAUCGGAUUAGCUAGUUGGUGGGGUAACGGCUCACCAAGGCGACGAUCCGUAGCUGGUUUGAGAGGACGACCAGCCACACUGGGAAUGAGACACGGCCCAGGCUCCUACGGGAGGCAGCAGUGGGGAAUUUUGGACAAUGGGGGCAACCCUGAUCCAGCCAUUCCGCGUGAGUGAAGAAGGCCUUCGGGUUGUAAAGCUCUUUCGCAAGGGAAGAAAACUUAUCUAAUAACACUAGGUGAGGCUGACGGUACCUUGAUAGGAAGCACCGGCUAACUACGUGCCAGCCGCCGCUGUAAGAC
rnacentral:rRNA from 1 species